rnacentral:rRNA from 1 species
ACAAUGGAGAGUUUGAUCCUGGCUCAGGAUGAACGCUAGCGGCAGGCUUAACACAUGCAAGUCGAGGGGCAG